CAGUCGCCGCGGGAAUACGUAGGUCCCGAGCGUUGUCCGGAUUUAUUGGGCGUAAAGCGAGCGCAGGCGGUUUGAUAAGUCUGAAGUUAAAGGCUGUGGCUCAACCAUAGUUCGCUUUGGAAACUGUCAAACUUGAGUGCAGAAGGGGAGAGUGGAAUUCCAUGUGUAGCGGUGAAAUGCGUAGAUAUAUGGAGGAACACCGGUGGCGAAAGCGGCUCUCUGGUCUGUAACUGACGCUGAGGCUCGAAAGCGUGGGGAGCGAACAGGAUUAGAUACCCGGGUAGUCCCUGUCUCUUAUACA
rnacentral:rRNA from 1 species